CUACGAGGGGCUGCAGUGGGGAAUUUUGCGCAAUGGGGGAAACCCUGACGCAGCGAUACCGCGUGAGUGAAGAAGGCCUUUGGGUCGUAAAGCUCUUUUCUAAGGGAAGAUAGUGACGGUACCUUAGGAAUAAGCGCCGGCUAACUCCGUGCCAGCAGCCGCGGUAAUACGGAGGGCGCGAGCGUUGUUCGGAUUUACUGGGCGUAAAGGGCGCGUAGGCGGCCUGGCAAGUUAAGGGUGAAAUCCCGGGGCUUAACCCCGGAACUGCUCUUAAAACUGCCAAGCUAGAGAUGGUCAGAGGCGGGUGGAAUUCCAGGUGUAGAGGUGAAAUUCGUAGAUAUCUGGAGGAACACCGGUGGCGAAGGCGGCCCGCUGGGGCCAUUCUGACGCUGAGGCGCGAAAGCGUGGGGAGCGAACGGGAUUAGAUACCCCUGUAGUC
rnacentral:rRNA from 1 species